CACCAGACGAGAAGACCCUGUGAAACUUUAAUCAACUAAGUCAUAUCGACAACAAUAUAAACCGCAAGGGUCCACAGCUGUUUAAACCCAUGACUUAGCGUUUUUGUUUGGGGUGACCUUAAAACAAAGAAAAACUUUUAAGACAAGUCAUAACAAAGUUGUGAUUAUUCAUUGAGACCCACAUCUCAAAGUACUUAAAUGUAAUUAGAUCCGACAACGUCGAUCCAUGAACCAGGCUACUCCAGGGAUAACAGCGCAAUCCCCUUCAAGACCCCCUAUCGACAAGGGGGUUUAUGACCUCGAUGUUGGAUCAGGACAUCCCAUUGGUGUAACUGCUAUUAAUGGUUUGUUUGUUCAACGAUUAAAGUCCUACGUGAUCUGAGUUCAGACCGGAGCAAUCCAGGUCAGUUUCUAUCUAUG
rnacentral:ncRNA from 1 species